AUUGAACGCUGGCGGCAGGCCUAACACAUGCAAGUCGAACGAGUGGCGGACGGGUGAGUAAUGUCUGGGAAACUGCCUGAUGGAGGGGGAUCACUACUGGAAACUGUAGCUAACACCGCAUCCCAUAAGAUGUGCCCAAAUGGGUUUAGCUAGUGGGUGGGGUAAAGGCUCACCUAGGCGACGAUCCCUAGCUGGUCUGAGAGGAUGACCAGCCACACUGGGACUGAGACACGGUCCAGACGCCUACGGGCGGCAACAGUGGGGAAUAGUGCACAAUGGGGGCAAGCCUGAUGCAGCCAUGCCGCGUGUAUGAAGAAGGCCUUCGGGUUGUAAAGUACUUUCAGCGAGGAGGCGUUACUCGCAGAAGAAGCACCGGCUAACUCCGUGCCAGCAGCCGCGGUAAUUC
rnacentral:rRNA from 1 species